rnacentral:rRNA from 1 species
ACUCAAAGGAAUAGACGGGGGCCCGCACAAGCAGUGGAGUAUGUGGAUUAAUUCGAUGCAACGCGAAAAACCUUACCAGGGCUUGACAUCCCAGGAAUCCCUCCGAAACGGGGGAGUGCCUUUCGGGGAAUCUGGAGACAGGUGGUGCAUGGUUGUCGUCAGCUCGUGUCGUGAGAUGUUGGGUUAAGUCCCGCAACGAGCGCAACCCUUACGGUUAGUUGCUACGCAAGAGCACUCUGGCCGGACUGCCGUUGAAAAAACGGAGGAAGGUGGGGACGACGUCAAAUCAUCAUGCCCCUUAUGUCCUGGGCUUCACACGUACUACAAUGGCGGCUAACAACGGGUAGCGAAGGCGCGAGCCGGAGCCAAUCUCAAAAAGCCGCCUCAGUUCGGAUUGUAGGCUGCAACCCGCCUGCAUGAAGUCGGAAUUGCUAGUAAUCGCGGAUCAGCAUGCCGCGGUGAAUACGUUCCCGGGCCUUGUACACACCGCCCGU